GGCCCGNUGCGAGCGUUGUCCGGAAUCACUGGGCGUAAAGGGCGCGUAGGUGGCGGCCCAAGUCCAUGGUGAAAGCUCGAUGCUCAACAUCGAGUCGGCCACGGAUACUGGGUUGCUCGAGCACUGUAGGGGCAGAUGGAAUUCCGGGUGUAGCAGUGGAAUGCGUAGAGAUCCGGAAGAACACCGGUGGCGAAGGCGGUCUGCUGGGCAGUUGCUGACACUGAGGCGCGACAGCGUGGGGAGCAAACAGGAUUAGAUACCCUGGUAGUCCACGCCGUAAACGAUGGGCACUAGAUGCUUGGGGGAGCGACCCCCUGAGUGUCGUCGCUAACGCAGUAAGUGCCCCGCCUGGGGAGUACGGCCGCAAGGCUG
rnacentral:rRNA from 1 species